GAUGAACGCUGGCGGCGUGCCUAAUACAUGCAAGUCGAACGCUUCACUUCGGUGAAGAGUGGCGAACGGGUGAGUAAUACAUAAGUAACCUGGCAUCUACAGGGGGAUAACUGAUGGAAACGUCAGCUAAGACCGUAUAGGUGUAGAGAUCGCAUGAACUCUAUAUGAAAAGUGCUACGGGACGGGUAGAUGAUGGACUUAUGGCGCAUUAGCUGGUUGGUAGGGUAACGGCCUACCAAGGCGACGAUGCGUAGCCGACCUGAGAGGGUGACCGGCCACACUGGGACUGAGACACGGCCCAGACUCCUACGGGAGGCAGCAGUAGGGAAUUUUCGGCAAUGGGGGAAACCCUGACCGAGCAACGCCGCGUGAAGGAAGAAGUAAUUCGUUAUGUAAACUUCUGUCAUAGAGGAAGAACGGUGGAUAUAGGGAAUGAUAUCCAAGUGACGGUACUCUAUAAGAAAGCCACGGCUAACUACGUGCCAGCCGCCGCAGUAA
rnacentral:rRNA from 1 species